rnacentral:rRNA from 1 species
UACGAAGGGGGCUAGCGUUGUUCGGAAUUACUGGGCGUAAAGCGCACGUAGGCGGAUUGUUAAGUUAGGGGUGAAAUCCCAGGGCUCAACCCUGGAACUGCCUUUAAUACUGGCAAUCUCGAGUCCGAGAGAGGUGAGUGGAAUUCCGAGUGUAGAGGUGAAAUUCGUAGAUAUUCGGAGGAACACCAGUGGCGAAGGCGGCUCACUGGCUCGGUACUGACGCUGAGACGCGAAAGCGUGGGGAGCGAACAGG